GCAGUUUCCCUCUUCAAUCAAGUCUGGUGCUAAAUAUUAGAUCCUGCGCAGAACCAUUUCAUCGUUUGCUUGCAGGAAAUACUUUUUGCAUCAUAAAAUAUAGUUAGACGUUUCAGUAUGUUGCAGGAGUGUGACUUUGUUUGUCACUCUGAAGUUCUUGAGUCCUUAUGUGUGAUAAAAGGUGCAAUCAACUUAUUAUUUUGCCGCCCUGGUUAAAGUUCUAGAAUAUGAAGCUUGAUUCCUUAUCCAGGAAAAAGAGAGUUUAGACUAGACACGGCCACAAUUUGGGUUGGGCCCAGAACUAGGACUCGAAGGGGCUGGGCUUGGUGUCUCCAUCCCCGACCCUUGAGCCAGUGGUUCAGCCCACUUUCAAAAAAAAAAAUUCUGACCAUUGGAUUCCAUUAAACCUGGAACCAAAACCGCUGGUUUCAAACCGUCUUUGAACCGAAACUAGGCUAUUUGGUUUACGGCCUUCCCGGUAAACCUUCCCGGCCACGAACAGGAACUCAAUCAGAACCAGCCCAUGACUAGUUUGGACGACUGAAUGUUUAGUAGAUUUAAAUGAAUCCAUCUAAAAUAUGAAAAAUUAUUAGGUGCACCCGAUGCACAUGCACUAUCCCUCACAAUUAUGUGGGAUCACUCUUUAUAUUAUAGGAAGAGGAAUUAUUAGGAGCACCCGGUGCACAUACACCUUCU
rnacentral:misc_RNA from 1 species